CCCUUAGAUGUUCUGGGCUGCACGCGCGCUACACUGACGCACGCAACAGGUGCCUGCUCCGAGAGGACUGGGUAAUCAUUUGAGUGUGCGUCGUGAUGGGGAUAGAAUAUUGUAAUUAUUACUCUUCAACGAGGAAUUCCUAGUAAGCGCCAGUCAGCAGCUUGCGCUGAUUACGUCUCUGCCCUUUGUACACACCGCCCGUCGCUCCUACCGAUGGGUGAUCCGGUGAAUGAUUCGGACUUCAGCGGCUCCCCUGGGGUGCGCCGGAGAAAGUUUUGUGAACCUUAUCACUUGGAGGAAGGAGAAGUCGUAACA
rnacentral:rRNA from 1 species